AGCCCUUCUUCUUCUUCUUCUUCCUUCUGUUAUUUCUUCUUAUCCACGUCACUACCUUAAAUGCUGUGUGAAACAAAUUACUAGCAGAUUUGAAAAUUUGGAUCCUGAGGCUUCCGAAUGUGCAAGUUUUCUAUGUUUUUUUUAGAUUUGAAAACUGUUCUGGAAUUGGAAUUUUUUAUGGUAAAACUAUUAUUUUUACGACUCACGGGUUGGAAGCUCGGGAGGCCAUCAGAGCAGGAUAGCAUCCAUUGCUUGGAAUGGUCAAUCUCCAACAUCAGGAAGCCGUGACAGUGCUCUACUUCACCUUUUCUUUACUUAUUAUUACUUUUCAACACAGGGAGAUGAUUUUAACUUUCCUAUUUCCUUGUAUCUGCAAAUUCACUGACAAUAAGAGUGAGAAAUAAUCCAACUUCAUGCAUAAAAGCACACACCGAAGAAGUGUGAGUUUGAAGUGGUCAUUUGAAGGUGGUGUACUGGCAAGUGGAGGAAAUGAAAGCUCUACAUGCAUAUGGGAAGCUUAAAAAAUGAGCUCUUUGAACUUCUUGGGUCGACUCAAUGCCCAAAGCACUUGCUUGGUGUCCCUAUCAAUUCAAUGGACUGGCCUCGGGAGGAGGCACGGGAGAUGGAUGCAUUACGAUAUGGAAUAUAAAAGUAGGGACUUGUACUCGUAGUUCGAAACCAAAGCAAUGGCGAGUUAUGCUUUGUGGGAUCUUUUACUUACUUAUCUCGUGUGUGAUUGCCUCAUAAACUCCAUCUGCAUCUGGAGUAUUUAAUUAAGGAUUUAGUGUUUGUU